rnacentral:rRNA from 1 species
AGAGUUUGAUCAUGGCUCAGGACGAACGCUGGCGGCGUGCUUAACACAUGCAAGUCAAGGGGGCCCGCAAGGGCAACCGGCGAACGGGUGCGUAACACGUGAGCAACCUGCCUAGAUGUGGGGGAUAGCCGGCCCAACGGCCGGGUAAUACCGCAUAGGUUCUUCGGGGGGAGUCCUCGGGAGAGCAAACCUGUCGCAAGACGGGGCAUUUAGAGGGGCUCGCGGCCUAUCAGCUAGUUGGCGGGGUCAUAGCCCACCAAGGCGACGACGGGUAACUGGUCUGAGAGGAUGGCCAGCCACAUUGGGACUGAGAAACGGCCCAGACUCCUACGGGAGGCAGCAGUGGGGAAUCUUGCGCAAUGGCCGAAAGGCUGACGCAGCGACGCCGCGUGUGGGAGGAAGCUCUUCGGGGUGUAAACCACUGUUGCCCGGGACGAACAUCCACUUUCGAGUGGACUGACGGUACCGGGUGAGGAAGCACCGGCUAACUCUGUGCUAGCAGCCGCGGUAAUUC